rnacentral:lncRNA from 1 species
GGCGUGAUUGGGGGACAGAGGAGACAUGGAGGAGGGGGGUUGGCGCAAUCAGGCUCGAGUUGGCCCAAUCAGGCUCGGGCCUGACUUGGACUUGGGCUCAGGCUAGGCUCGAGCCCCUUUUUUUUCAAAAUAAAGGGGCCUAAGCCCAGCUCGAAGCCCAAAAGAUUUUCUCGAGCCGGGCUUGGGUAGGGGUAUGGCCCAACCCAGUUCUAGCCCUAAGGUGGGAUCUCACCCACUGCUCCAUGAUAUC